CAUUCUUUUCCCUCAAAACACGUGUACUACAAUUGUGUAAAAUUGAUUUACCAUCUAAACCAAGACUGAUACCCUGUUCUCCUUAUCCUUGUUUAAUUCUCCUCCAUCAAUGUUCUCUGUACUACUGAUUCUUUGGUGAAGCUGCCAUAUUUUCUUAUGGGUAUUCAAGAAAAUGUUGUGUCUUUAGCUCUUGAAACUUAUUUUGCAAAUGCAUGUGAAUAAGAUGAGGCAAGAGAUAAUCUCUUUAUCUUGCCCAUCUUAUGCAUAGUGCGGCUCAUAUUAAGAGGUGCUCUAUAACACAGAGAUCUAUCAUCCAGCAAUACUAAAGGUAUAUUACUUACUCCUAUUGGAAAGAAAUACUGAAUAAUGUAAUAUGUAUUAUAUUUGUUUGAAAUGCUUUUAGUUUGCUUAUAUGUUUAUUGCAUUAUUGCUACUGUUUAUCUAAAUAAAUCGGGAAAGUCAGAUACAAUCCAAUCUGGCGUGGAGUUCUUUUUCUGUGGCUU